CAGCAGCGCAGCGCCGCCGUUCGGUCGCCGAAACUAAACGUAGUACGUCACGCGUCGGACGCCGGCGGCGCCAUCUAGCGGCCCGCUGUGAGCGCCGCAGCGCGCUCCUCACCUGCCUCGCGCGACAUUUCUCCGUCGCGCUCGCACCAGUGCACGUAGAAAUAACCUCAAAAUUCUCGCGUACCAACCAAUCACAAAAAUAUUGUAUCUCGCAGUAUUAAUAACAGUGACUACUAUCUCAAAGACGGUUAACAGUGUUAUAAAUGUGACGUAAUCCCGUCACGGCUCUGGAUUAUCCCUGCAGUGUUGCUUCAUAGUGAUUUUGGCGAAAUCGAAAGUUUUCAGGACGAAUGUUCCUUUUGGUGGGCUGUCGUCGGGCAGCCCCAAAAUUUUGUGCCAAUAUGUGGUGGUUUCUAUUAUGUGUUUUGAGCGUUAAAACAUUGACAGUAUUUGCGUCGAAAGGCAAUGGAACUGUAUCCGAAUCAAUAUGCUCCCUGAAGCAGUUCCAGUGCGCCAACGGCCAGUGUAUACCGAUCAUGUGGGUGUGCGACCUCGAGAAGGACUGCGAAGAUAACUCCGAUGAAGAAAUUGAGGAAUGCAAAAAAGG